rnacentral:rRNA from 1 species
CAGUAGCCACGGGAAUACGGAGGGGGCUAGCGUUGUUCGGAAUUACUGGGCGUAAAGCGUACGUAGGCGGCUUUGUAAGUUAGAGGUGAAAGCCUGGUGCUCAACACCAGAGCUGCCUUUAAGACUGCAUCGCUUGAACGUCGGAGAGGUGAGUGGAAUUCCGAGUGUAGAGGUGAAAUUCGUAGAUAUUCGGAAGAACACCAGUGGCGAAGGCGGCUCACUGGACGACUGUUGACGCUGAGGUACGAAAGCGUGGGGAGCAAACAGGAUUAGAGACCCCAGUAGUCCCUGUCUCUUAUAC